GAUGAACGCUAGCGGCAGGCCUAAUACAUGCAAGUCGAACGGUGUCUUCGGACAUAGUGGCGCACGGGUGCGUAACACGUAUGCAACCUACCUUACAUUGGGGGAUAGCCUUUCGAAAGGGAGAUUAAUACCGCAUAAGACAGUAGCUGGGCAUCCAGCAGCUGUUAAAGAUUUAUCGAUGUAAGCUGGGCAUGCGUCCAAUUAGCUAGUUGGUGAGGUAACGGCUCACCAAGGCAAUGAUUGGUAGGGGAACCGAGAGGUCAAUCCCCCACACUGGCACUGAGAUACGGGCCAGACUCCUACAGGAGGCAGCAGUAGGGAAGAGUGGGCAAUGGACGCAAGUCUGACCCAGCCAUGCCGCGUGCAGGAUGAAGGCGUUAUGCGUUGUAAACUGCUUUUAUACAGGAAGAAACGACUCUUGCGAGAGGCAUUGACGGUACUGUAUGAAUAAGCACCGGCUAACUCCGUGCCAGCCGCCGCAGUAACAC
rnacentral:rRNA from 1 species